rnacentral:rRNA from 1 species
ACGGUUUCUGUGUCGUAGCUAACGCAUUAAGCGCCCCGCCUGGGGAGUACGGCCGCAAGGCUAAAACUCAAAGGAAUUGACGGGGGCCCGCACAAGCGGCGGAGCAUGCGGAUUAAUUCGAUGCAACGCGAAGAACCUUACCAAGGCUUGACAUACACCGGAAACGGCCAGAGAUGGUCGCCCCCUUGUGGUCGGUGUACAGGUGGUGCAUGGUUGUCGUCAGCUCGUGUCGUGAGAUGUUGGGUUAAGUCCCGCAACGAGCGCAACCCUCGUUCUAUGUUGCCAGCGGGUUAUGCCGGGGACUCAUAGGAGACUGCCGGGGUCAACUCGGAGGAAGGUGGGGAUGACGUCAAAUCAUCAUGCCCCUUAUGUCUUGGGCUUCACGCAUGCUACAAUGGCCGGUACAAAGGGCUGCGAUACCGUAAGGUGGAGCGAAUCCCAAAAAGCCGGUCUCAGUUCGGAUUGAGGUCUGCAACUCGACCUCAUGAAGUCGGAGUCGCUAGUAAUCGCAGAUCAGCAACGCUGCGGUGAAUACGUUCCCGGGCCUUGUACACACCGCCCGUCAAGU